rnacentral:rRNA from 1 species
CCUCGGGGGGCAGCAGUAGGGAAUCUUCCGCAAUGGACGAAAGUCUGACGGCGCAACGCCGCGUGAACGAUGAAGGCCUUCGGGUCGUAAAGUUCUGUUGUUAGGGAAGAACAAGUACCAGAGUAACUGCUGGUACCUUGACGGUACCUAACCAGAAAGCCACGGCUAACUACGUGCCAGCAGCCGCGGUAAUACGUAGGUGGCAAGCGUUGUCCGGAAUUAUUGGGCGUAAAGCGCGCGCAGGUGGUUUCUUAAGUCUGAUGUGAAAGCCCACGGCUCAACCGUGGAGGGUCAUUGGAAACUGGGGAACUUGAGUGCAGAAGAGGAAAGUGGAAUUCCAAGUGUAGCGGUGAAACGCGUAGAGAUUUGGAGGAACACCAGUGGCGAAGGCGACUUUCUGGUCUGUAACUGACACUGAGGCGCGAAAGCGUGGGGAGCGAACA